AGAGAGAGACAUGCGCGCAUAUCAAUAAGCGGAGGAAAAGAAACUAACUAGGAUUCCCUCAGUAACGGCGAGUGAAGCGGGAAGAGCUCAAAUUUGAAAUCUUAAAGGGUUCUACCUUGACGAAUUGUAGUUUAAAGAAGUGUUUUCUGUUGAGGUUUUGGUAAAAGUUCUUUGGAAUAGGACAUCAUAGAGGGUGAGAAUCCCGUAUUUGACCAUUAUUUCCAGCUUUGUGAUACACUUUCAAAGAGUCGGAUUGUUUGGGAAUGCAGUCCAAAAUGGGUGGUAAAUUUCAUCUAAAGCUAAAUACUGGCGAGAGACCGAUAGCGAACAAGUACCGUGAGGGAAAGAUGAAAAGAACUUUGAAAAGAGAGUUAAACAGUACGUGAAAUUGUCAAAAGGGAAGCGUUUGACACCAGUGUUGUUUUCUCGAAAAUCAAUUAAAAAAGGCAGGAUUUUGUGUUGUAUUGACUUUAUCAGCUUUCUGCACUCUUUUCUUGUCUUUUUUAAUGCACUUUUCGUUUAACAAGUCAACAUCAAUUUCUUUUGUUGUAAAAGGGUCAUUGGAAGGUGGCUUUCUUUUCGGAGAAAGUGUUUAUAGCCUUUGGCCUCUGCAAUCGGAGAGAUUGAGGUCUGCAGCGUAGAUCCUUCGGGGUUAGAUACAUUUGUGCUAAGUUAUAGCCUUUCAUAGACAACUUGUUGACUAUGAUCAGUCAUGUAGCUUACUCGCUUAUGCUAUUUUACCUACGCUUAGGAUGUUGAUGUGAUACUGCGAGCA
rnacentral:rRNA from 1 species